rnacentral:tRNA from 1 species
GGAUAUAGCUCAGUGGUAGAGAGCUUGCCUAGCAUGCAUAUGAGGCUCUGGGUUCAAUCCCCAGCAUCACA